AUUGAACGCUGGCGGCAUGCCUUACACAUGCAAGUCGAACGCGAAAGCGGGGCAACCCGCAAGUAGAGUGGCGAACGGGUGAGUAAUGCAUCGGAACGUAUCCAGUAGCGGGGGAUAACCUCUCGAAAGAGAGGCUAAUACCGCAUACGACCUACGGGUGAAAGCAGGGGAUCGCAAGACCUUGCACUAUUGGAGCGGCCGAUGUCGGAUUAGCUAGUUGGCGGGGUAACGGCCCACCAAGGCGACGAUC
rnacentral:rRNA from 1 species